UACGUAGGUGGCGAGCGUUGUCCGGAUUUACUGGGCGUAAAGAGCGCGCAGGCGGUCGUUCAAGUCGCGUGUGAAAGCCCCCGGCUCAACUGGGGAGGGUCACGCGAUACUGAUCGACUCGAAGGCAGGAGAGGGUAGUGGAAUUCCCGGUGUAGUGGUGAAAUGCGUAGAUAUCUGGAGGAACACCGGUGGCGAAGGCGGCAUCCUGGACCGGCAUUGACGCUGAGGCGCGAAAGCCAGGGGAGCAAACGGG
rnacentral:rRNA from 1 species